rnacentral:lncRNA from 1 species
ACUUGCAUAUUUUCACAACCUUUUAUUUAUGCCAAUAUAAUAAGCAAAUCUUUUGCUUAUUUCUUAGUUUCAUAUUUAUUUAAUUACGGCAGCUAAGAACCCUUUUGUGUAUUCAUAUGCCCUUUCCCUCUUUUAUGUUGGCUAAAGGAGAGCCAAAUUUUUUUAUUUGUUUGUUUGUUUAUUUUGAUGGGGGUCGGCUCUCAAGGAGGUGAAAAUGUGGGUCUGAUUUAGGUUAUGCUGAGUUGCAAUAUCGCUGAGAUACCCAGUGGAAAAGCAGAAGAACCAUGGGAAUACCAGAGAGGCAAGCUCUUUUGAUAGGAUGUUUCCAUUUGGAUGAAUCUUAGUUCCACAUUGAGGAUCUAAGCUCAACGAACCCCUUCAUGGUUUCGAUUCAUAAUGUUUCACUCAGAGAGCUCAACUUGGAUCCAGAGAUUGGCACAGAUUUAAGAAACUGCUGAAUGAUUUUCCCGCUGGGAGAAAGGGCCAUUGGUUUAAACAGAAAUACAUACUCAUUUUAGCCAUUCAUUUCUGGCUCUAACUUUUUUCUUUUAAUUUAAGAAUAAUAUCAAAUGUUCAGAAAAGUUGCAAAAACAAUACAAAGAAUACCGUUUUUAUCAGUCACCUAGUGCUAGUUAUCAAUUUCUGUAUAAAGAUCUACUCCAAAACCUGAUGGCUUAAAACAAGCACCAUUAUAAGUAUAUAUUAUUCUUUUCUAUGACAAGAAUUUGGGCAGAGCUCAGUUUAGUGAUUUACGUUCAAUGUGGUGUUCACAGAAGUCAUAGGAUAGUAUUUGGCAAGUGGAUGGAUGGGUCUGGAGAAUCCAAAAGAGCUUCUGGCACCUUGCUGAGGAUGGCUGGAAGGCUGGGUCCAAUGGGAACUAUUGACAGGAACACCUACACAAGACACUUUCAGUGCGGUGGUGUCAGGGAGUUGGAUGUCUUAUAGCAGUUCAAGGUUCCCAGACAACGUGUUCCAAGAGCCCCAGGUUGAAGUCGUAAAGUUUCUCAUGACAGUCCUGCAAGUUGCAAAGCAUCAGUUCCCCCACAUUCUGUUAUUCAAACAAGUCACUAAAGCCAGCUCCAGCCGGGCACAGUGGCUCAUGCCUGUAAUCCCAGCACUUGGGAGGCUGAGGCGGGGGCAUCACCUGAGGCCAGGAGUUCAAGACCAGCCUGCCCAACAUAGCGAAACCCUGUCUCUACUAAAAAUACAAAAAUUAGCCAGGCAUGGUGGCGGGCGCCUGUAGUCCCAGCUACUUGGGAGGCAGAGACAGGAGAAUUGCUUGAACCUGGGUGGUGGAGGUUGCACUGAACCAAGAUCGUGCCACUGCACUCCAGCCUAGGCAACAGAGUGAGACUCCAUCUCAAAAAAAAAAAAAAAA